AAACUUACCCGGUGCUGGGGUCGCAAUGAUCAUAAAGGUUGCGGCCCCGUGCGGACACCUCCCAUUGCACUGCGGUUGGUUGAAGCACGCCACUUCCCUGGAAUAGGGUUGUGGGGCAUCUAAUUUUUGGUAGUGGGGCUUGGCGUUCGCGCCAGCCCUGC
rnacentral:snRNA from 1 species